GUCUCUGAGGCAGGGGAAAUAGCUUGGUGGUCUAAGCACCUUCCUGUCCAGCGCAAGCACCCAGGCUCGAUUCUCAGUAUCGCAGACUGUGCCAGUCCUGGAACCUC